rnacentral:rRNA from 1 species
CCUACGGGUGGCUGCAGUGGGGGAUAUUGCACAAUGGGGGAAACCCUGAUGCAGCGACGCCGCGUGUGUGAAGACGGUCCUCUGGAUUGUAAACCACUGCCCCCAGGGACGAAGAUGACGGUACCUGGGGAGGAAGCUCCGGCUAACUACGUGCCAGAAGCCGCGGUAAUACGUAGGGAGCGAGCGUUGUCCGGAAUUACUGGGUGAAAAGGAAGCGUAGGCGGGGAUGAAAGUUGGGUGUCAAAACUACGGGCUCAACUGGUAGUCGCAGUGAAAACUGGGGCACUUGAGUGAAGUAGGGGCAGGCGGAAUUCCUGGUGUAGCGGUGAAAUGCGUAGAUAUUAGGAGGAACACCAGUGGCGAAGGCGGCCUGCUGGGCUUUAACUGACGCUGAGGCUCGAAAGUGUGGGGAGCAAACAGGAUUAGAUACCCGUGUAGUC